UACGUAGGGUGCAAGCGUUGUCCGGAAUUAUUGGGCGUAAAGAGCUUGUAGGCGGUUUGUCGCGUCUGCUGUGAAAUUUCGGGGCUCAACCCCGAACUUGCAGUGGGUACGGGCAGACUAGAGUGUGGUAGGGGAGACUGGAAUUCCUGGUGUAGCGGUGAAAUGCGCAGAUAUCAGGAGGAACACCGGUGGCGAAGGCGGGUCUCUGGGCCGAUAUCGACGCUGAGGAGCGAAAGCGUGGGGAGCGAACAGG
rnacentral:rRNA from 1 species